rnacentral:lncRNA from 1 species
AUUAAUUCCUUAAUUUCUCAAUCCCUGAGGUUUUUAAUUCCUUAAUUUCUUAAUUAAUUCCUUAAUUUCUCAAUCCCUUAAUUUCUUCCCCCCCCCCUUUUUUUACUUUUCCUUCCCGCAGGAUAUUUCCGAGCCCUUCGGGGGGACGGGACCCCAGGGAGCCCCGGCGGCGCCGGGAGCGGUUCACGGAGAGGUCAGAGCGGAAACGUUUCCAGCGGGAAGCCCGCAGAGCAGUUUCAUGUGUGCUCUGAGCCGUGCCAAUAACGGCGUUGCAACACUUGCCGGGAGUUUUGCUCCGAGGGUGGAUCCAGCCGGCGCAACGACGGCGAAGCAGACACGUGUCCGGCGUCGGAUCAGCGCCGGUUUCCUUCCGCGCGC